AAACAUGUCAGGUGGGCACCUCCUUGUCAGAUCCUUGUAUCUCUCCCAUGCUUCAUAGAGGGUUUCACGAUCUUAUUGCCUGAAUGUUUGUACAUCAGUUCUUAGCCU